GCGGCGCUGGUUCUCGACGACGCUGGUUCUCGGCGGCGCUGGUUCUCGGCGGAGGGUUCCCGUUCAUGUAUGGUUCACACCCAGCAGGAUCUUGAUAACACUCUCAGAAAAUGUAAAGAAGAAUUUAAGCAGUUUGAAAGGGAGGACAUUAAAUAUCGAGAAGAUUUAAAGCACAUGAAGCAAAAUAUCAAGAAACUAACUGAUAAGCUUGAAAAAGGUAGGUAAUAUGCAUUAUAAUAUUAUGUGAACAUGUACAUACGUCUAAAAUCUAUCUUCCAACUCAUGAUUCAUCAAAGAUCGAAGACUUUCAAAAAGAGAGUGAGAACUCAGCAAAUUUGAUUCCAAAACUUGAGGAAAAUAUUCCAAAACUGCAAAAGCUCUUAGUGGAAGAGGAAAAAGUACUAGAGGAGAUUAAGGAGAAUUCAAAAGUUGAAACAGAGAGACACCGCUCUGAGCUUGCAAAAGUUCGUGCUGAAUUGGAACCUUGGGAAAAAUAACUUAUUGAGCACAAGGGAAAACUUGAAGUUGCAUCUACCGAGAAUAAGCUUUUAAGUGAAAAGCAUGAAGCUGCUCGUGCAGCUUUUGAAGAUGCGCAAAAGCAGAUGGAAGACAUAUCGGGAGCUAUUGAAACAAAAACUGAGAGUAUCACAAAAAUUCAAAGUGAUCUUGAAAGGAGCAAAUUCGAAGCAUUGGAAGCUCAUAAAGUGGAACAAGAAUGCAUCAAAGAGCAAGAAGAACUUAUUCCUCUUGAACAAGCAGCAAGACAGAAGGUUACAGAACUCAAGGCUGUUAUGGAUUCUUAAAAGAGUCAAGGAUCAGUUUUGAAAGCCAUUUUGCAGGCUAAGGAUUCUAACCGGAUACAGGGAAUAUAUGGUCGAAUGGGUGACUUGGGAGCUAUUGACGGUUAGUUGCCUUGCCUUGCAUUCAGUGAAGUAAAUGUAUAUACGUAUAUACAUCCAAGUUUAUCUGGAGUUGCAUUAUUGCAUGAUCAAUUAUCCAGACUAGUAUAUA